rnacentral:rRNA from 1 species
AAUGAACGCUGGCGGCGCGCCUAAUACAUGCAAGUCGAGCGAGAAGACGUAGCAAUACGUUUGUAAAGCGGCGAACGGGUGAGGAAUACAUGGGUAACCUACCCUCGAGUGGGGAAUAACUAGCCGAAGGUUAGCUAAUACCGCGUACGCUUCUUGGACUUCGGUUCAGGGAGGAAAGCGAUGCCGAGGGUAUCGCGCUCUUGGAUGGGCUCAUGUCCUAUCAGCUUGUUGGGAGGUAACGGCUCACCAAGGCUUCGACGGGUAGCUGGUCUGAGAGGACGAUCAGCCACACUGGCACUGCGACACGGGCCAGACUCCUACGGGAGGCAGCAGUAAGGAAUAUUGCGCAAUGGGCGAAAGCCUGACGCAGCGACGCCGCGUGGGGGA